UACAGAGGUCUCAAGCGUUGUUCGGAUUCAUUGGGCGUAAAGGGUGCGUAGGCGGCGCGGUAAGUCGGGUGUGAAAUCUCGGAGCUUAACUCCGAAACUGCAUUCGAUACUGCCGUGCUUGAGGACUGGAGAGGAGACUGGAAUUUACGGUGUAGCGGUGAAAUGCGCAGAUAAUCAGGAGGAACACCGGGUGGCGAAGGCGGGUCUCUGGGCCGAUGACUGACGCUGGAGGAGCGAAAGCGUGGGGAGCGAACAGG
rnacentral:rRNA from 1 species